ncrna:Saccoglossus kowalevskii microRNA sko-mir-2012 precursor
AUAUUACUUGGUAGUACUGGCAUAUGGACAUUGGUGAUUUAACUCAAUGUUCAUAUUUCAGUAUUUCCAAGUGAGAU